GACGAACCGUGCGAACGUUAUUCGGAAUCAUUGGGCUUAAAGCGCGUGUAGGCGGAUUCGUGCGUCUGUCGUUGAAAUCCCCCGGCUCAACCGGGGAAGUGGCGCGGAUACGACGAGUCUGGAGGGGCAUAGGGGGGACCUGGAACUUCCGGUGUAGUGGUGAAAUGCGUAGAUAUCUGAAGGAACAUCAGUGGCGAAAGCGACUUCCUGGACCAAUCUGACGCUCAUGUGCGAAAGCG
rnacentral:rRNA from 1 species